rnacentral:rRNA from 1 species
CGUGUAGGCGGCUUCGUGUGUCCCAUGUGAAAGCCCUCGGCUCAACCGGGGAACUGCAUGGGAAACUGCGGAGCUUGAGUCCGGGAGAGGAGAGCGGAAUUCCCAGUGUAGCGGUGAAAUGCGUAGAUAUUGGGAGGAACACCGGUGGCGAAGGCGGCUCUCUGGACCGGUACUGACGCUGAGACGCGAAAGCCGAGGGGAGACGAAACG